CCUGAGUAGCUGGGACUACAGGCACGCACCAGGAUACCUGGACAAGAGACUCCAUCUAUGGACUCAAGCCUCACCAGCUUCUGGUGGCAGUCUGAUCAAUAACUUCCGCAACCUGGUACUUGCUUUCCAACAAGAAUCCAGGAUGCACAGGACAGGGUGGAGAUGGAGGUGGACUGUCAGUCCCCACCCUGCACAGGUGCCCCUGCGAGGAUUCCCAGAGGAGGCUGCUUGCUGACAGUGGAGACUGACUUCAGGGCUUUGGCCACCCCAUGGUCUGAAGGGACCUCCUGGCACACUUACACCCCAGUUGGGCACACCCGUUGGAGAGCAAGAGGAACAAAACUCAUCUCAACACCAAUAAGGCAACCACUAUUAACAUUGUACUUUACUUCCUUUAAAUAAAAAAAUCACUUAAAAUAUUGUAAACAUA